UGGGUAACCUGCCUCAAAGAGGGGAAUAGCCUCCCGAAAGGGAGAUUAAUACCGCAUAAUAUGUUUUAGUCGCAUGAUUUAACAUCAAAGGAUUUUCUUUUAGAAAUUCCACUUUGAGAUGGACCCGCGGCGCAUUAGCUAGUUGGUGAGGUAACGGCUCACCAAGGCAACGAUGCGUAGCCGACCUGAGAGGGUGAUCGGCCACACUUGGGACUGAGACACGGCCAGACUCCUAGGGAG
rnacentral:rRNA from 1 species